rnacentral:rRNA from 1 species
AUUGAACGCUGGCGGCAGGCUUAACACAUGCAAGUCGAGCGAGCGGCGGACGGGUGCGUAAUGUCUGGGAAACUGCCUGAUGGAGGGGGAUGACUACUGGAAACGGUAGCUAAUACCGCAUACCAUCAGAUGUGCCCUGAUGGGAUUAGCUAGUAGGUGGGGUAAUGGCUCACCUAGGCGACGAUCCCUAGCUGGUCUGCGAGGAUGACCAGCCACACUGUAAUGGGGACACGGUCCAGACGCCUACGGGAGGCAGCAGUGGGGAAUAUUGCACAAUGGGCGCAAGCCUGAUGCAGCCAUGCCGCGUGAGUGAAGAAGGCCUUCGGGUUGUAAAGCACUUUCAGCGAGGAGGCGUUACUCGCAGAAGAAGCACCGGCUAACUCCGUGCCAGCAGCCGCGGUAAUAC